rnacentral:ncRNA from 1 species
AGAAAAACGUUGAACAGAAGAUUAAGUCUUGGAUAAACUUUUAAAGAGAGUAUCGGUUGCUGCAAAGAUACAAGUCUCCAAGUCUGAAACACAUCUGCGAGUUGGGUUCCUCAACUAGUUUACUAGGGAAUCCCGGGAUAAGCCCGUUACAGCUGUAGUUUAAUAAACUCGUUGAGAUUAAAUUCGUGAGAAUUUAAUGAAGCUUGAGGUGGUACCGCAACUUUUUGUUGCCCUCUAU